rnacentral:rRNA from 1 species
UACGUAGGCAACAAGCGUUGUUCGGAGUUACUGGGCGUAAAGGGUGUGUAGGCGGUUGUUUAAGUUUGGUGUGAAAUCUCCCGGCUCAACUGGGGGGUGCGCCGAAUACUGAAUGACUCGAGUGCGGGAGAGGUGAGUGGAAUUCCUGGUGUAGCGGUGAAAUGCGUAGAUAUCAGGAGGAACACCGGUGGUGUAGACGGCUCACUGGACCGUAACUGACGCUGAAACACGAAAGCGUGGGUAGCAAACAGG